rnacentral:rRNA from 1 species
UACGUAGGGUGCAAGCGUUAAUCGGAAUUACUGGGCGUAAAGCGUGCGCAGGCGGCUAUGCAAGACAGAUGUGAAAUCCCCGGGCUCAACCUGGGAACUGCAUUUGUGACUGCAUGGCUAGAGUACGGUAGAGGGGGAUGGAAUUCCACGUGUAGCGGUGAAAUGCGUAGAUAUCUGGAGGAACACCGGUGGCGAAGGCGGCAUCCUGGACCAACACUGACGCUGAUGAGCGAAAGCCAGGGGAGCAAACGGG